GACGAACGCUGGCGGCGUGCCUAAUACAUGCAAGUCGAACGCAGUGGGGACGGGUGAGUAACACGUGGGUAACCUCCCAUCAGAGGGGAUAACACUUGGAAACAGGUGCUAAACCGAUACUGAUGGAUGGACCCGCGGUGCAUUGGCUAGUUGGUGAGGUAACGGCUCACAAAGGCAACGAUGCAUAGCCGACCUGAGAGGGGUAACGGCCACACUGGGACGGGGCCACGGCCCAGACUCCUACGGGAGGCAGAGGUGGGGAAUCUUCGGCAAUGGACGAAAGUCUGACCGAGCAACGCCGCGUAAGUGAAGAAGGUUUUCGGUGUGUAAAACUCUGUUGUUAGAGAAGCGGUAUCUAACCAGAAAGCCACGGCUAACUACGUGCCAGCAGCCGCGGUAAUAC
rnacentral:rRNA from 1 species